CAGCCGCCGCGGUAAUACGAAGGGGGCUAGCGUUGCUCGGAAUCACUGGGCGUAAAGGGUGCGUAGGCGGGUCUUUAAGUCAGGGGUGAAAUCCUGGAGCUCAACUCCAGAACUGCCUUUGAUACUGAGGAUCUUGAGUUCGGGAGAGGUGAGUGGAACUGCGAGUGUAGAGGUGAAAUUCGUAGAUAUUCGCAAGAACACCAGUGGCGAAGGCGGCUCACUGAACGCGUAUUGACGCUGAGGUGCGAAAGCGUGGGGAGCAAACAGGAUUAGAUACCCCUGUAGUCCCUGUCUCUUAUAC
rnacentral:rRNA from 1 species